rnacentral:rRNA from 1 species
GAUGUUGGUUAAGUCCGCAACGAGCGCAACCCUCGACCCUUAGUUGCCAGCAUUCAGUUGGGCACUCUAAGGUGACUGCCGGCUAAAAGUCGGAGGAAGGUGGGGAGUGACGUCAAAUCAUCAUGCCCUUAUGACCUGGGCUACACACGUGCUACAAUGGGCGGUACAAAGGGUCGCGAACCCGCGAGGGGGAGCCAAUCCCAAAAAGCCGCUCUCAUUCGGAUUGCAGGCUGCAACUCGCCUGCAUGAAGCCGGAAUCGCCAGUAAUCGCGGAUCAGCAUGCCGCGGUGAAUACGUUCCCGGGCCUU